UGCGAGUCGAACGGCAGCACGGGAGCUUGCUCCUGGUGGCGAGUGGCGACGGGUGAGUAACGCGUAGGGAAUCUACCCAGUAGCGGGGGGAUAGCCGGGAAACCCGGAUUAAUACCGCAUACGCCCACGGGGGAAAGCCGGGAUCUUCGGACCGGUCACUAUUGGAUGAGCCUGCGUAGGAUUAGCUAGUUGGUGAGGUAAAGGCUCACCAAGGCGACGAUCCUUAGCUGGUCUGAGAGGACGAUCAGCCACACUGGAACUGAGACACGGUCCAGACUCC
rnacentral:rRNA from 1 species